rnacentral:lncRNA from 1 species
UUAAAACCGUCAACUCCCUGUACUACGCUUCAGGCGCCCUUGACAACUUCUCCAAUGGCUUUGAGUAUUUUGCCAAAGAAGUACUGCUGAACCUCUGACUCACGU